CCUGGUUAUACACAACAAUCACAUUCACCAACUUCAAACCCGACACCUCAGAGGCCUGAGGCAGCACAUGGCACAAAGCCGCUGUUUUCCUCUGUUCAUACACAACAACCAUACUCACCAACUUCAAACUCGAUACCUCAAAGGAAAGAAAACUACCCUGAAACAACUCAUGGACCAAGGCCUCUGUUUUCCCCUGGUUAUACACAACAAUCACAUUCACCAACACCUCAGAGGAAAGAAAGCCAUCCUGAGGCAGCACACGGCACAAAGCCUCUGUUUACCCCUAUUCAUACACAGAAACCAUAUUCACCAACUUCAAACCCGAUACCUCAAAGGAAAGAGAACUACCCUGAAACAACUCAUGGACCAAGGCCUCUGUUUACCCCUAUUCAUACACAGAAACCAUAUUCACCAACUUCAAACCCGAUACCUCAAAGGAAAGAAAGCUACUCUGAAACAGCACACGGCACAAAGCCUCUGUUUACCCCUGUUCAUACACAGCAACCAUAUUCACCAACUUCAAACCCGAUACCUCAAAGGAAAGAAAGCUACCCUGAAACAGCACACGGUGCAAAGCCUUUGUUUUCCUCUGGUUAUACACCACAAUCACAUCCACCAACUUCAAACCCAACACCUCAAAGGAAAGAAAGCUACCCAGAAACAACACACGAUACAAACCCUAUGUUUUCCCCUGUUUCUACACAACAAUCAACUGCAAAUCCGACCUCUCAAAACAACGAAAGUCAGCCAAAGAAGAAAAAAGGUUGGACAUCUCUGUUUUCCUC
rnacentral:lncRNA from 1 species